rnacentral:rRNA from 1 species
UACGUAGGAGGCAAGCGUUUGUCCGGAAUUACUGGGCGUAAAGCGCGUGUAGGCGGAUGCCUAAGUCUGUGGUGAAAGCGCCUGGCUUAACCGGGCGAGGUCCAUGGAAACUAGGCGUCUGGAGGCCGGUAGAGGGGGGUGGAAUUCCGGGUGUAGUGGUGAAAUGCGUAGAGAUCCGGAGGAACACCAGUGGCGAAAGCGGCCCCCUGGGCCGCGCCUGACGCUGAGACGCGAAAGCGCGGGGAGCGAACGGG